AAAAUCCACUACUUGAAUGAAUUGUGAAAUUCACAUAGGAAAGAAUUUUCCUAAUUUAUCCAUAAAUUUUUUUUAUUUUACGCAAUCAUGAUUGAAGAGAUCGGCAUCGUAAAACUCUCGUAACCAAGAUAUUGAUAAAUCUUUUAAUCAUUAUCCAAAAUUUACCAUUAAGAUAAAAGGAGUUGUGUCAGUGAGACAUCACAUCAAGUACAAUAGUCAUCAGUCUGUCCCUGAACUAUGCACCUCACUCAGAUGUUUGUGUCUCUGCCACCCAAUUCGAAGGGGCCGGUCGCAAUUCCUUAAUCUUCGCACACCGGUGGCGAUGGUCACCGACAUUUGAUUAAUGAAGUUCCAGAAGCGGACAUGGUUAUUUUAAUUCGAUUCUUUCUAUUGCUUAUUACAAUCACAUAGAUGCACCAACAGAAGAGAGAUUAAGGUGGUGGGGUGUAGAGGUGGUGGAUUGUUGUUCACGACCUGAAUAUGGGAUAGUCAUAAUUUUUUGAGGAUUUGGUUUUGAUUCCUAUGGCCAACAUUCGCAAGUACUUUCAGCUUCCUUCUCUAUCUCUGUCUGCCUCACAUCCCCUCCAAUUUUGAAACUUCCCUAAUUUCCUCUCUAAUUUUGUCGAGAGAUUAAAGAAGUGCGAUUGACAUGAGAAAUUGAAGAUUUGAGUGGAUUUAGUUGGAGAAGUUGAGUAUAGGUUUGGGAAAUGGAAAGGCUUCACAAAGUUAUUGCUUUUAGAUGUGAGAGAUGCCUAUAAGGCGUUCGAUGGAAUUCCCUAGCCAAUUAAGGUAUGCUUAACAGAAUCACCAUUUGAAAUUGUGAGAUGCACAAGAUUAUGCUUCUAGUUUGGUAUUUUGUAAGAAUUUGAGAUAAGAAGGCUUCAUUUGUUGCUUACUGAGAUGGAAUCUGCUAUUGAUGUACCUUCAAACAUAGAAUACAGAAGAAAUCGUCUUGAUUGAAAAUGUGAAAGCAAGAUAUAUUUUUUCCAACUGAACUGAAAGCUAAAACCGUUUGACUGAUAUCAAAUUUAGACGGAGUUUGAUAUGGAUAGUAGGUAUGGAAGAUUAUGUAAUUUUGAUUUUUUGGGAUUCGUUAAAAUCCUAAGAGAUUUAAAAGUUUUUUGAUAUGGUAGAUAAGAUAUAUAAUAGAAAUUCAUAACCCUUAAUAGCAAUGUACUUACACUCUUCUUUUUUAUACAAAUAAUAGCAAUGUAUAGUCCAGGAUAGCAUUGUACUUA